GUGAUGGAGAUCAGAUAGUAAAUCCUGGUGUUGCAGGAUGUUACGGGCAGGGGUAUGUUAACACCGCUAUCAUACCCACCGUGUCCACCAACACUGCUACAUACAAACGGAACAAGCCUGCCUGAGUUUCGUUGCCGAUUUACAUCGUCUGCUUAGAAAGGAGGAUAAAGAAUGAAUUGAUAGAAGAAAAGAUGAAGAAAUGUAAACAAAUCUGCCAUUAGGAUUGAAUUAGAUGCGUUGAAUUUAUAAAAUCUUAUACUGUGAAUUAUAAGUGCCAGUAAACUAUCUUGUGCUUAGGAUUGUGGAAUAUUUGCAUCCAACUGUUCAUCUCGGUGAUCGCCUUAUAUCGUAACUGAAAAGAAAAGAAAUCAUAAUUAAUUGCGGCUUGGAAAGUAUCCGAUACAAAAAGAAACCAGGAUCGAGUAGAAAGGUGUGGUGUGCAAGAGUACAAUAAGACCAAUUAUUGUAAGUAGACACUAAAGAUAAAACUGUGAGUUGCUAAUUAAAUAUAAAUUCUAGUUUGAGCUGCCGCAAAAUCCAGGCUGCUUCGAGAAAUUUGGUUCAAAUCCGAACAAAUUCCUCUAUCUGUAUUUCUUUCCUUCAAAUGUAUCUUUGCUUGAAACCCAUUUCCUUUUUUAAACAUUUUUAUAUUUUAUCUA